rnacentral:tRNA from 1 species
GCACCCGUGGCCAGGAAGACAAAGCGACUGAAAUUCGCUUGGCUCUCGGCAUUGUGCCGGGAACUCGGUUCUGAUCGGAAUAGGCGCG